rnacentral:lncRNA from 1 species
GUACCAUUGCUAGAUGGUCACUUCGAUUAGUACAGAAAUUGGUUCCUAUGCUACUGGCUUAGGUUCGAACCUGCGGGGUCACACACAUUAGAGGUUCCUAUCUGAUCUGAUGGCUGGCGAAGAGUCCUAAUGCUCAUGGACUUUGAGUCCUACAUAUUUGAAACUUUGUGAUCAAGAAUCAGGAUUCUCUAAUCACAAGUUCC